CCCGCCCGGGCGGAAUCGGCGCCCCGAGCGCCGGCCUGGGAGGGGCCGAGUGAGACGGCCACCUGCGCUGCCCCACGGCCCGGGGGCGCCCCGCAGGGCCCUGCGCCUGCCCAGACCCGGGCAGUGCCCGCGCCGCCCCGAGGGGGGUGAACACUGGAGGGUCGGGGAGGCCGGGCAGGGCCGCCGCGGAGGGCAAGAGCAGCCUCCGUUCACCUUAGCAUCACGAAGACCCCGCGCUUUCAGGCCGCAGGAAGGAAGCGCUGCUGUCAGCGGAAUGUCACUCCACCCCCUUCACUGAAGAUUGGGUUCCUGGCUCAUAGUAUUCCUGGCCAUCAUUCCUGCUGUCUUCAGCAUCCAGCCCAUGCUGCUCGUUCCCACCCCUGCCAGUCACCAAGUCCCGGAAGAUGCUCAUGUUGACGAGUUGGAGGAACACUGGCCCUCCUCAUCUUACUGGGCUUCUUGGCAACCUCAGUCCAGCCCAUACUGGCUGCAUCUGGAUCGACACUGGCUACAGCUUCUCCAAUUGCCUCCCACCCUAUCUGGCACUUCUCAAGCUCCCCAACCCCCUGGUGUUAGCGUCUCAGGGCUUAGCCUCCAGCCCCUUUCCUCUCUCCACACUCACUCCCGAGGCGACCUCAUGCAUAGCCAUGGCUUUAGACACCAUCUGGGUGCUGAGGAUGCCAGCAUUGCUGUUACAUCUGACCUUGGUCUGAGCUCUCACCAUCUGUUUGGUGUUACCAUGUGUUUAUGUCACAGGCAUCACCCAAACCAAACUUGUGAUCCCUGCAAUCUCUCCUCCUUCACUUCUCACCAGGGUUCGUGGUGCUUCCCUGUUGUUCCCUGUCUGCUUCCAGGCUGCACCCUUUCCCCUUUUCCUUAUUGUUGUCCCAGUUGUCCCAGAGCUCACGCUCCAUCAUUUUCAUUUCCACUUCUGACACACACCUCCGGCUGACUUCCUCCUCCACUCCUGCCACGUGCCUUCUCAUCCGUCCGCUGCAACUCUCCUGAGUGCUGCUUGCACCCUCGAGUUGUUCGCUCUCCUCAUCAUACAGCAGCUGGAGCUGAAUCAUAAUGCUUUUGUCCUCAUUGGCUUCCUGUCCUCCUUGAAUAAACUCCCAGCUCAGCCUUGGCUUUCCAGGGCCUGGGAAGAUGCAGUCGCAUCCCAUCCGUGCCUUCCCACCCGUGCCUUCCGCUCCCGGCUUCUAACUGGAUGGUCCUUGGUGCUCUCCAAGCGCCCCCUCCUGUGCACUGGUCAUGCCGGCAGGGCCUCUUGCCUUUUCCCAGGUCUGGUCUCCUGCCGGCACCAUCUCCUGGGGGCCACCUCCCAGGCAGCCCUCCAGAGCAGCCCUACCCCCACCACCCAGCACCUCACACCCCCAGUGCCUGGUCACUGUACAGUUCAGUUUCCACACAGUCCUUUUUGGUUUGAUGUCAUUUCGUUGUAGAUUUAUAUGUUAGCUUAGUUAAGCGGCCCUUUUCUCUCUCAGUAAGCCUCACAGAGGACAGCUAGGCUGUCAUGUUCACUGUUCUCCCCUUAGAACCCAGAGGCCUGGCACAUAAUACAUCCUCAACAAAAGCUGGUGAAGGAGCCCCUCCUUCUACCCAUACCUCUUUCCCAGGCUCCACUAAGACUAAAGGACUUAGUCUUCUCCAGACAUACCUCAAGCUGCUCUCUCUGCCUGGAAUGACCCUCCCCUUCUCUGGGCCAUCAGAGCACCACCUUCCUGCUUGACCACCCAACCCCGUGUACCACCAGCUGCCGAGGCCACACCUUCCCUGAAUCCCAGCCCUCACACCAGCGCACAUGCCACUUCCUCUCUGCAGCUGGGAGCAUCCCUGCUGAGAUUCCACCUCCCAGCAGCCUGACUUCCAGCUCAAGAGAGUCUACCAACGGAGAAAGUGAAUUUUCACACCAGUGAAGUAAAUACGACUUUCUCAGGGAAAACUUUUCUGACCCCUGGCAAGGGUAGCCCCGCUCCACUGUGCUCUCAUAUCUGAACCUUCUCCCCAGUAAUUAUUUGUUUGUGUAAUAUUUAGUUUAGUGUCAGGCUUCCCCUCAGAUGCCAUGGGGUGAUGGGUAUGAAUAUGAUGUCUGGUGCAGGUGCCUAAUAUAUAUUUGUCAAAUGAAUGCAUGAAGGACUGAGUGAAAAGUCCCAGUUGUUUACCCUCAGAUGACGGCUUCCUUGAGGAAGAACCCUCAUAAUCACGGCCUUGUCCCAAACAAAUUGGACAGUAGGCACAGAGGUCAGCAUUACUGCUACUAACAAACAGGGUCACCACAUUGCCUUUG